rnacentral:rRNA from 1 species
UACGAGGGGGGCAAGCGUUGUUCGGAAUUACUGGGCGUAAAGCGUGCGCAGGCGGCUGCUCAAGUCAGGGGUGAAAGCCCAGAGCUCAACUCUGGAAUUGCCUUUGAGACUGAGUGGCUUGAGUACGGGAGAGGUGAGUGGAACUGCGAGUGUAGAGGUGAAAUUCGUAGAUAUUCGCAAGAACACCAGUGGCGAAGGCGGCUCACUGGCCCGAUACUGACGCUGAGGCACGAAAGCGUGGGGAGCAAACAGG